UGCCCGCCCCUCUGACAUUCUUACGGCUAUUUCCUGCUAGGGAGCUAUCAAGUCCCACCAGCUCACCUGUGCCCUCUUUGGCUCAGCUACACUGUUACUGGGGCCUUGUAGCAAUAUAGAUGUAAAACGUUGUGAAUUUGGGACACCACGGAUGGUCGGGCAGGGGGGCAGCCUAUCUUCUGAAUCGUGCUUGAGUGGUUCCGCCCAUCCUUGAGGAGCCUCACAGUCAAAGAGAUGGAAGAAAACAUCUUCUGUAUGUUGGGGGAUGAUGGUGGUGGUGGAGAAAGGGGAGGUGUCGCAUCCGCCUCCAGGUGCCUGUAGGACUGUCACAAGGCGAGAUCUGGAAACGAGGCGCUGAGGCACCAGUGCCCAUGGGUAUAUCCACACCCUAGGGCUGCAGACGGCAGCACAACCCGAAAAAUAACUUUCCUCUUGCAGCAGCCAUUCCGGCAGCAGCCGUUUAUUGGGGACGACGACGACGACGACGACGACGUCAAGCCCUACACUAAGCACUUUUAUCUACACUGGCAUCAGUAAACCUACUGACCAUCUGGGAACUAGAUGCCUGCAAUUAAUUACAGCCCCCACAUCACACAGGAGAAACCAUUAAGUAACUGGAUGAAUGUGGCUGAGCAAGCAGCUGGGAGAGCCGAGGCCCCUGCCCACAUCUGGCUCCAACGUCUACAUUCUUAGCGGUUAACUCUCGCAUCACUGCUGCUCUUGAGAAGCAAUGCACCCACACUGACAGUGGCAAUCGCUGAACCCUCCUUGCUGUGUGCCAAGGACUGUACCGCUGACCCCACCACAGCCCUCCAACAAGCGUCAUGUGGGUUGCCUGAAGGAGACAAACCAGAUUUGACACAACAAGACACAGUCCCCGGCUGCAAGGGAGCUGGAGUCUAGUUGAGAAGGUGGACGGUUAAGUGAGAAAUGUCAGUGAACCUGAGGUAUUUGAGAGCCGGGAAUGAGGAAGUCCAAGCACGUUAGUGAGGAAGGAGCACACAUCUCAGCAGGAGGGGAUUCCAAGGACUGCAGGAGUGCUGUCUGGGGACCUGAAGGCCUCUGCAGGGGAACCUGGCAAGUAUGGGAAUAAAGAUCCUCAUUCUCCCAACUAGACGGGUGUAUUGCCUAGGAUGGAAAGGACAGGCCGAUUUGAGUUCAUCUGCCACAGACUGGGUAUGCUCUCCAUGCACAGAAGAGCCCACCUGAACACUUUAUGGUACUGGACUCUACUCAGGAGAAAGGGGACAGGCGCAGGCUGGGGGAUGAUCUCUUGUUUAAAUGAAGAAUGCUCAUCCGUGCCGGAGAACAGGAACCAGAACAAGGAAGUGGUUUUGCCACUACACCAUAUUUUUAAAAAAGAAAGACCCGAACUGGCAAGACAGCUCAGUCAGUGAAGGUUUUGCCACCAAGCCCGACAACUUGAGUUCAAUGCCCUUGAGUCCCACACGGUAAGAGGAGAAAACCGAUUCCUGCUCACUGUCUCUUAUCUCUCUCUAUACCUGCUCCAUGACAC